CCAGCACUGUAGCUUGCUGGUCGUUGAGUGAAGCUGGGUGUUGGUGUUGAGAUGGAGAUCUCUGGGAGAUUUUUGCCGUUUGAUAUUACGUGGAGCUGGGAGGUCUCUUGUGGACCAGUGUCCUGAAGUUGGCUCUCCCACCUCAGAGGCACAGCACUGACUCCUGGCUGCAGCACCAAGAGCCUUUCAUCCACACGGUUCAGAAUAAAAGGGAGAAAAAGUAGAAAGAAAGAAAGAGAGAGAGAGAGAGAGAGAGAGGGAGGGAGGGAGGGAGGGA